rnacentral:rRNA from 1 species
CCUACGGGGUGCAGCAGUGGGGAAUAUUGGACAAUGGGCGAAAGCCUGAUCCAGCCAUGCCGCGUGUGUGAAGAAGGCCUUCGGGUUGUAAAGCACUUUCAGUGGGGAAGAAAGCCUUGGGGCUAAUACCCUCGAGGAAGGACAUCACCCACAGAAGAAGCACCGGCUAACUCCGUGCCAGCAGCCGCGGUAAUACGGAGGGUGCGAGCGUUAAUCGGAAUUACUGGGCGUAAAGCGCGCGUAGGCGGUCUGAUAAGCCGGUUGUGAAAGCCCCGGGCUCAACCUGGGAACGGCAUCCGGAACUGUCAGGCUAGAGUGCAGGAGAGGAAGGUAGAAUUCCCGGUGUAGCGGUGAAAUGCGUAGAGAUCGGGAGGAAUACCAGUGGCGAAGGCGGCCUUCUGGACUGACACUGACGCUGAGGUGCGAAAGCGUGGGUAGCCAACAGGAUUAGCUACCCUGGUAGUC